GAUGAACGCUGGCUACAGGCUUAACACAUGCAAGUCGAGGGGAAACGACGGGGAAGCUUGCUUCCCCGGGCGUCGACCGGCGCACGGGUGAGUAACGCGUAUCCAACCUGCCUCUGACUGAGGGAUAACCCGUCGAAAGUCGGCCUAAUACCUCAUGGUAUCGUCUGCGGGCAUCCAACGACGAUUAAAGAUUUCAUCGGUCAGGGAUGGGGAGGCGUCUGAUUAGCUUGUUGGCGGGGUAACGGCCCACCAAGGCUACGAUCAGUAGGGGUUCUGAGAGGAAGGUCCCCCACAUUGGAACUGAGACACGGUCCAAACUCCUACGGGAGGCAGCAGUGAGGAAUAUUGGUCAAUGGGCGAGAGCCUGAACCAGCCAAGUAGCGUGCAGGAAGACGGCCCUAUGGGUUGUAAACUGCUUUUAUGCGGGGAUAAAGUGAGGGACGUGUCCCUCAUUGCAGGUACCGCAUGAAUAAGGACCGGCUAAUUCCGUG
rnacentral:rRNA from 1 species